rnacentral:rRNA from 1 species
CCUACGGGUGGCUGCAGUGGGGAAUAUUGGACAAUGGGCGCAAGCCUGAUCCAGCCAUGCCGCGUGAGUGAUGAAGGCCUUAGGGUUGUAAAGCUCUUUUAGCGGAGACGAUAAUGACGGUAUCCGCAGAAAAAGCCCCGGCCAACUUCGUGCCAGCAGCCGCGGUAAUACGAAGGGGGCUAGCGUUGCUCGGAAUCACUGGGCGUAAAGCGCACGUAGGUGGAUCGCUAAGUCGGGGGUGAAAUCCCAGGGCUCAACCCUGGAACUGCCUUCGA